UACGAAGGGUGCAAACGUUGCUCGGAAUCAUUGGGCGUAAAGCGCACGUAGGCGGCCUCGCAAGUCUGAUGUGAAAUCCCUCGGCUCAACCGAGGACGUGCAUCGGAAACUGCGGGGCUUGAGUACUGAAGAGGAUCGCGGAAUUCCCGGUGUAGAGGUGAAAUUCGUAGAUAUCGGGAGGAACACCAGUGGCGAAGGCGGCCUUCUGGACGGUGACUGACGCUGAGACGCGAAAGCGUGGGGAGCAAACAGG
rnacentral:rRNA from 1 species